rnacentral:hammerhead_ribozyme from 1 species
AUCCAGCUGACGUGUCCCAAAUCGGACGAAAUGCGCUUUGUCCUGAAU